AUGGUAGGGACCUAUAGGCAACAGCAUCAUCAUCCCAUUCAUAUGAAACACCAUAAACACAUCACAAUAAUCAGACCAGACACUAAGAUAGCUGGAAAAACGGAAUGGCUAAAUCUUUUGAGAAUAUUAAUAUUAGAAAAGUUCACUAAAGAUUCUUGUCUAUUUUGGAAUUCUGACAAUUUCAACUUAUAUGGAAAAAGUUUAAAUAUCACAAUCAGCUUCUUCCCUACAGGAACUCAGAAGGCAUUUCAUACCAAAAUAUCAGACAAAGUAUCAGUAUCAGUAUCAGAUAUGGAAUCUGGGGAUGAAAAUAUGUGUACUUUUGCUGAGCAACAUUGA